rnacentral:misc_RNA from 1 species
AAGGUAAAAAUUACACAACUUAAGUUCGGGACUACCUUUACAAAUUCUGCUACUUUGAAUGCAUCUAGGACGUUUGAAAAUGCUAAGAUCGACUGUAAUAUUAACUAUGUUCUGAGACAGGUCACUGGGCAGCUGGAUCAAACCUUAAACUCGAUCCCGAAUGCCGAUGAGCUAAUAUUGAUCCGAUUGCACCUAAACAAAGCCCACAAAUUGUUAAAAAUUAUCACAUAAUUAUUUUUAAUUUAUAGGAAUCAAAAAGGCCUGAAAAUCUCACAAAGUGAUUUGGAUCAUCUGAUAAUUGCCUUUUUCAAAUGGUG